GACGAACGCUGGCGGCGUGCUUAACACAUGCAAGUCGAACGGAAAGGCCCUUCGGGGUACUCGAGUGGCGAACGGGUGAGUAAAGCAUCGGAACGUACCGUGUAGUGGGGGAUAACGUAGCGAAAGUUACGCUAAUACCGCAUACGUACUGAGGUAGAAAGCAGGGGAUCGUAAGACCUUGCGCUAUACGAGCGGCCGAUGUCAGAUUAGCUAGUUGGUAGGGUAAAGGCCUACCAAGGCGACGAUCUGUAGCGGGUCUGAGAGGAUGAUCCGCCAGACUGGGACUGAGACCAGGCCCAGACUCCUACGGGAGGCAGCAGUGGGGAAUUUGGGACAAUGGGGGCAACCCUGAUUCAGCCAUGCCGCGUGAGUGAAGAAGGCCUUCGGGUUGUAAAGCUCUUUCGGCCGGGAAGAAAUCGCACAGGCUAAUACCCUGUGUGGAUGACGGUACCGGCAUAAGAAGCACCGGCUAACUACGUGCCAGCAGCCGCCGUAACAC
rnacentral:rRNA from 1 species